UAUCCUCCAUUGCACACCAUAAUCGAUUCUACUAUUGUUCGUUAUUCAUAUACUGGGAACGACGCCAUAUUCAUAAACAAGUAAAAUAUCUGCUUCUAGAAACCAUCUAGCCUCUUCCACUCUCAUUGGCUUCUGUGUUCUCAUCAUAUUUUUCAUUGUUCUAUUCUUCAUUUGCCUCGAUCUAGUUGAGAAACUUUAGUUCUUGCUAGAUUCAUGCUUCUUUGUGGAUUUGUUUGUUGCUUUUUGUGGUUUUACUAAAGGUUUUUUUCGCAAUUCCUUGUCCGAGAUGUGAAAUUUUUGUUGGGUUACUCUUCUUUUAAUUUGAUCUACUUCUAAAGCUAUAAAUCUUGCUUGGGGGGUAUGUGUGUGUGUGUGUGUGUUUUUUUUUUUUUUUUGGAUUUCUGCUGUCUUCGACUAUAUUCUAGUUCUGACUAUCAUUUGUACCGUAGUUCUAGCAUAUUUCCAGCUGGUUUUUCUUGCUUAGUCUAACUCGAUCAGCUGAAAAGCUUCAAUUUUGCUAUAUUUUUGCUUUUGUGUGGAUUUUUUUGUUACUUUUUUCACCUUAUUUAACUUGUUUUUGCUUCUCAUUGUAUGUUGAUAUGUGAGACUUUUGUUGAGUUAUUCUCCACUUACCUUGAUUUACUCCAAAAGCUUUAAUUCUUCAAAUGUGUUCUUUUGCUCGAUAUCUGCCUUUGAUGUUUUUACGAGGAAUACAACAGUUUCUUGUAUUUUUUUUGGCUCGGCUAGGAUUCCUUAUAUUUUUGUCAGCGCUUUUAUUUUUGGUUUUCAACAUUUUAGUUUCAUCCAACUAACAAGCUUCAUUCUUUUUUUCCAGUCUUUGCUCUGUUGUGUAUUUCUUUUAUUUUAUGCAGAUUUAGUUAAGGUGUGUUUUUAUUCUUACACUUUCAUUGGCCUUUCUUAUGAUAAGUUAUUCUUAUUAAUUAUGCAGAAACACAACUGCAUUCCACUAAAUUAGGCUUCAAUCCGUCAAGUGUUAAGCGUAAUGAAGAAUCAUAGUUUUCAAAAUGACAAUCCCAAUCAAAAUUUUCCCCCAAAAUAUACGUAUCUGCAUCUCAACUGCAACCUGCAAUCCACUAUCAGAAACCCAUAAAAGUUUACUCGUUAGCUAGCUAACCAUACCCAUAUUUGACCUUCAAAUUUUGGCUCUCAUAUUUAAUUGUAUUUUCUAUCCGUCAAUGUUGUGGCUCCUGUAAAAAAAAAAAAUGUUCUAAGGUUGUUCAGAUGUUGUUGUAGUUUGUUUGAAAAUGUGCUAAUUUAAUGAAAAUGAUCAAUUUGAUUAUUUUUUAUUCUAUAAUGAUUUGUUCAUUACGUUGUUUUCUUUGGGUAUACAAGAAGAGUUCUGAAGUGUAGAGAAUGUUGUCAUCUACGAAGCAAAAAAUACAUUAUAAUACUUCACUCCUUUUCAAUUAUAUUUGUCGAUUAAAUCAACAGAGAUUCAUUUUCAUCAAUCUUUUCAUGAAUAUUUCUUUUGUUCUUAUUUUCCAUUCCAGUUUGUAAGUUAUCAUUCCAAAAUUGAAGGAAUUCAAAGUUUCCAACAUCAAUUCAACUGUGCUACCUUCAGGUAUGUUAUAAUUGUUCUUCUUUUUAAAAUUUACUUGAGUUUUUUUUUAUUUGUUUACAUUUUAUAGUUUUUCUGUACUUUUUCUCCUAAAUUUCUUCUAUAAUAUUUAUCACUAAAGAAUUAUUCACCAAUUGCAAGCUCUAAUAUUAUACAUACUUGAACCAAAAUUUGUAAUUAUUGUUCUUAUAUGUAUAAUGUUUGAUCAUCUUUUCCGGUUGUUGUAGUUGACGACCACCACAAUGUAUUUUACCUUAGGAAAGUCUUUCUAUUGAACUAUUUCCUUUCAUAUCUUUUCUCGUUGCUUUAUGAGUUAAGUUUUUCUUUUCUUUUCUUUUCUUUUUUUUGGUUAUUUAUCUAUAGUCACUUCUAAAAUUUGUAAUAGGUUGCUGGUUCUUGAUUUUCUUCGUGCAAUCUAUGAACAUUCUAUUUUUUUAUGUAUUUUUUAUUUCUAUCUAGUAGUUUCAGUUUCUACCGCAAAAGUUGGAGUCCAGCUAUUCCACAAAAAUUUGUUAGUGUUGCAAUAGAUAAUAUUUUCAAACAAUAUGAUGAUGGAGAUCAGGAGUUACUUCAUCUUCCAGCUACUUCUCGAACUACCAAUGAGUUAUACCACGCCUUUAUUUGUUAACAACAUAAUCAAAGACAUCAGGAUCAAUACAAUAGUUCAGGUCUUGUUCUAAUAUAUAAAAAUACAAUACUUGAAGACAAUAGUUCAGUUCUUGUUCAAAUGUAUAAAAACAAUUGAUGUUCUCAGUUCUAAAGUAGAAGAAAGUUUGAACCUAUUGCAUGUACCAAAUGUUACCUAUGUAUAACCAACAUAUAUCGAUUGUAAAUAUUGUGAUGCAUGAAAAAUUUUUAGAGAGAGUAAAUGGUUUUGUUGUUCUGAUGGAAAAAUCAAGCUCCUUAAACCUCAAUCACCAACUGAACUAUAUGCUUUGUUUAUUUUGAAGAAACUUCAUGUACGGAGUGUAAGAAAUUCUAAACGAGAUAUAAUAAUCAUUUUGCGUUCACUUCGUUUGGUGUAAAGUAUGGCAAAGAACUUUUUAAAAAAUACAAAUGUAUUGCAUAUUUAGGGGUCAAGCAAGUGUAUUUCAACAUGGAUUUAGGUACCCAUGGAACCAAAACAAACUCAAUUGUUGAAGAACUAAUUCUAUAGUUUUAGAUUGUAAAAUUGUGCUUAAUUUGCAGGUAAAGUCACUUUCUUCAAAAGGUAAUUUCACAGCCACUGUCGGAGGAUAAUGAUGCCCUUGAUCAAGCAUCUUCGCUUUGGUCUGUUCUUUUUACGGUUAAUUUUGCUAUUGGAAGAUAAACUAUGUUUAGUAUAUUUUAUUGUUUUGCAGGCAAUUAUGGUUUUUUUUUUUUGUAUGUUUUGGAAUGGAGGUGCCACUUCUAUUGGACCAUCAAGCAAUUGAUAGAAAAUCACUGAACUUUCUCAACAAUAUGAUUUGAAGAAAAUUUGGGAUGAUUUUUUAAUAGAUAUCUUCCCCUUUUUGUAAAUAGGUGAUAAUACUUUAUCUUGAAUCCUUUCAACUUUUGAACAUCAAACAUAUAUUAUGAGUGUAAUGGUUGUUGGGCUUUUCUACGUGCUGUUAAAUAUUCUGGUCGUCA